UACAAUCCUUUUUGGGUUCACUCUCUGGGUCUCCUCAGGAAGUUAUUACUGCUUUGUAUGAGGCACUCUUGGAUGGCGUUGAGAAAGGAUUUGCCAAGGAGGUUAUUAAGAAGAAAAGCUACCUUGCUGCUGUUGCUCAAGAUGAGGAGUCUCAGCUACGAUUGCUUCAAGCUACAGAAAUUUUUUGUGGGAAAUCCAACAACUCAGUUGCACUGAAGGAAGUGGCUCUGGUUUUGAAAGCUUUGUAUGAUGCUGAUCUUUUGGAAGAGGAAUACAUAGUAAAGUGGUACAACAAGGGCGUCGCUGCG
rnacentral:lncRNA from 1 species